UCUAAUGAAGUUGCAGAUAAUCUAGCUGCAGAUAAUCUAGCAUUGGAAGGUCCUGAAAGGAGCGACGAGAGCUCAGCAAGAAGUCCGGUGCGUGCACCUCCAUCUAGUGUAGCAGAUAAUCUAGCCUUGGAAGGUCCUGAAAGGAGCGACGAGAGCUCAGCAAGAAGUCCGGUGCGUGCACCUCCAUCUAGUGUAGCAGAUAAUCUAGCCUUGGAAGGUCCUGAAAGGAGCGACGAGAGCUCAGCAAGAAGUCCGGUGCGUGCACCUCCAUCUAGUGUAGCAGAUAAUCUAGCCUUGGAAGGUCCUGAAAGGAGCGACGAGAGCUCAGCAAGAAGUCCGGUGCUUGCACCUCCAUCUAGUGUAGCAGAUAAUCUAGCCUUGGAAGGUCCUGAAAGGAGCGACGAGAGCUCAGCAAGAAGUCCGGUGCCUGCACCUCCAUCUAGUGUAGCAGAUAAUCUAGCCUUGGAAGGUCCUGAAAGGAGCGACGAGAGCUCAGUAAGAAGUCCAGUCAUCAACCUCCAUCUAGUGUAGCAGUAAGGAAAAGAACCUCUCCACUCUUUUAUUUGGCUAUUCUUCUAUAAAAGUUAAUUAUCUGGUUUCUUAGGUAGCAUAACCCAAAUAUAUUUAUAUCCCAACAGGAA
rnacentral:lncRNA from 1 species